UCGGCAAUGGAUAUCUUGGCUCUCGCAACGAUGAAGAACAUAGAGAAAUGCCAUACUUGGUGUGAGUUGCAGAAUCCUGUGAACUAACCAGUCUUUGAACGCAAGUUGAGCCCGAAGCCAAUAGGCCGAGGGCACGUCUGCCUGGGCGUCAGGC
rnacentral:rRNA from 1 species